CACACACACACAGAUGUUGAGGUCUCUGCUGGAUCCAGCUGUGUCAGUCUGAUCUUCUGUUCUGCAGGAAAGGGAAGGGGUUUCCGUCCUCCUUCAAGCAGUUCUUCAGCAGCGCUUUGUCUCUCCAGAACAUCUGUCUGUCUGGAACUAAACUACCUGCUGAAGGACUCAAAGCUCUGCUCCUGGGUCUGGCCUGUAACACUAACCUGUGAGAUGUUUCUCUGAACAUCAGCAGCUGUGAGUUGCGCUCAGCAGGCUCUCAGAUUCUGGAAGGCUGUAUCGCUGAGAUCCCCAACAUCACCAGCCUGGACAUAUCAGACAACGGACUGGACUUGGAUCUGUCCACGCUGCUCGUGUGGCUCGGGAAGAACCGCUGCAUCAGACACUUGUCCA